CUCAGUUCGGAUUGUAGUCUGCAACUCGACUACAUGAAGCUGGAAUCGCUAGUAAUCGCGAAUCAGAAUGUCGCGGUGAAUACGUUCCCGGGUCUUGUACACACCGCCCGUCACACCAUGGGAGUCGGAAAUGCCCGAAGCCGGGUGACUCAACCGCAAGGAGAGAGCCGUCGAAGGCAGGUCUGAUAACUGGGGUGAAGUCGUAACAAGGUAUC
rnacentral:rRNA from 1 species